UCUAAAGGCGACUAGGGUUCCGCCCGGACGACCGGGGUCUGGUCCGAGAGUCGCCGGCCCCGGCGGCGGGGCUACACGGCGGGACAAAAGCCCGGGAGAG
rnacentral:sRNA from 2 species